CGAGUGAGUGAUGAAAAGGGAAUCAGGUGAAAAUCCUGAACAGACCCGCUGCUGUAAACUCUUUUUCGGUUUUAAGCAAUACCUCAAUGCCACUUUUAGUAUUAAAGGGAAGGCUGCUUUGAAACCUGAGUAAGUCAGAAGACCUGCCAAUAAUGAUU
rnacentral:ncRNA from 1 species